CGUAAAUCGCUUCUCAGCUUGGACCUACCACCCAUAAAUGAUUUUAGGUCAGAGCUGAGAGUCAGGAAAGGGAUGCAUUACAGAACAAUGCAAACUAAAUCACCUUGUUAUCGAAGAAUGCUUUUGGUGUGCAACGAUCCCUGUUUAAUCCUCAACUUUCUUCCUGAUGAAGGGCCUUGGCCUGAAAUAUCGACUGCUUAUUCAUCUCCACAGAUGCUGCCUGACCUCUUGAGUUUCUCCAGCAUUUUGUGAGUGUUGCUUUGGAUUUGCAGAAUUUCUCGUGUUUAUCAUUUUAAGGAGAUCGGAGGAGGGUAUCGGGGGAUGUCAGAGAUUUCCAAGCCGCCAGCUUCUUGCUGAUGAGGAAUUGCUGGGACUUAGAAACCUGAUCCAGAUGGUUCGUGGGCCAGGAAGAUUCCAGAUUCCAACUGGCUGACGCCAGCCUCCUGUGAUUGGACAACAUUGCAACUCUGAUGAUUCUUCAUUCCCAGUUAUUCCAGAGUGUCAUUAUCUGUUGAGCUCACAGGUUCUGCUCCUGAUAUAACAUUUAAUGGUUUGGGUGCAGUUCUUUGCCAAUACUGAAGCUCAAAGAAAAUCAUGGAAUCACUGAAGGUAGAAAAGGAAGCCAUUCAGCCCAUCUUAACUACUCUAACUCUUGACUUCAGGCGCUCUGUAUUACAGUUUCUCAAGUGAAUACAAGAGUCUGCAGAUGCUGGAAAAUGGAGGAACACACAAGCUGCUGGAGGAGCUCAGCUGGUUGGGCACCAUCUAUGAGACUGAUACAGGUUCCAGCCCGUAACGUUGACCUGCUCCUUUCCUCCCACAGAUGCACUGUAAGGAGUUUGUACGUUCUUUCUGUAACUUGCGUGGGUUUCCUCUGGGUGCUCCGGUCUCCUCCCAUGGUCCAAAGACGUACUGAUUGGUAGGUUAAUUGGUCAUUGUAAAUUGUCCUGUGAUUAAGCAAGGAUUAAAUCGGGGUUGCUGGGCAGUGUGGCUUGAAGGGCUUGAAGGGCCUCUUCCGCGCUGUUUUGUCAAUAAAAGCAAGCAAACAAGUAAAUAAAUAGGCUGCUUGGCAUGCUGAGCUCCUCCAGCAGAUUCCCGUUGCAUUGAGUUCGAGCGCUGAGUUCCAGACUCUGUAUACAACUCAUUUUUCUCAACCUUCCUCAAGUCUGCAAGAUGAACAUUCCACCCACUGCUCUGAUCAUUUACUACCGCCAACAUGGACAGUGUCUACCAACUCUAGUUUGUUGUUACCUGCCGAGGCUGCUCAGAAUCCGAAACAGGUUUAUUAUCACUGAUAUAUGUCAUAAAACGUGUUGCUUUUGCAGCAGCAAUACAGUGACAUAUUGUAUACAUUACAGUACAUAAAAUAUGCUCUAAGUUACAAUAAGAGGCCUCCGUCGGCUAGGGUCAACCAUGGAUUCUGCGUCCUAGCUGUCUAGAUAUGCAAGCCAGGGCUGUAUGAUAUGGAGAGCAAGCUGUUGCCCAUGUAGCAAGCUCCCCCUCUCCACACAUCUGAUGAACCCAAAGGAACGGCAGAGACUGAUGCAGUUUGGCACUAGCUAUGUCGCAGGAGUUGCCAGUCAGCAUUGAACUUAACAUAGGACUGCCUUAGGGACCCCAGCUCCGGAUUUUUCCCUCGGGGUUUACUCCCGAAGCCUUUCUCAUGAGUGGGUAUAGUUGCAAGGCAGCAGAGGUUUGAGAUCAGAGUUUUCCUUCUCCUAGAUCAUAAAACCAUAAGACAUAGGAACAGAAUUAGGCCAUUCAGCCCACAUUCAGCCCAUUGAGUCUGCUCCACCAUUCUAUCAUGGCUGGUCCCAGAUCCCACUCAACCCCAUACACCUGCCUUCUCACCAUAUCCUUUGAUGCCCUGACCGAUCAGGAUAUAAUCAACUUCUGCCUUAAAUAUACGCACGGACUUGGCCUCCACUGCAGUUUGUGGCAGAGCAUUCCACAGAUUUACUACUCUCUGGUGAAAAAAAAUUCCUCCUUACCUCUAUUCAAAAGGGUCGCCCCUCAGUUUUGAGGCUGUGCCGUCGAGUUCUGGAUACCCCCACCAUAGGAAACAUCCUCUCCACAUCCAUCCUAUCUAGUCCUUUCAACAUUCAGUAGGUUUCAGUGAGUUCCCCUCACUGCCAAAUGCAGCUGGUGAGUCCCGUCUACCCAAAGCGACUGGAUUUACGGUGCCAGUAAUCCGCCUUUACCCCUUCUCCUGUCACUAGAAAUGGAUCUGCUGGGCUCAGAGAUGUGAAGGCCAGUUGCCAGGCUCGGUUGUCAGAGGCUAUUUGAUGCGCAUGCCAUUGGGAGCAUUUAAAAGGUAGUGGGAGCUUGUCCCCAUUACCACCCCCGGCUAUAAAAAUUUUAAGGAACCAAAUUAC